GAUGAACGCUGGCGGCGUGCCUAAUACAUGCAAGUCGAGCGAACAGACGAGUAGCUUGCUGCUCUGAGGUUAGCGGCGGACAGGUGAGUAACACGUGGAUAACCUACCUCUAAGACUUGGAUAACUUCGGGAAACCGGAGCUACUACCGGAUAAUAUUUUGAACCGCAUGGUUCAAGAGUGUAAGACGGUUUUGCUGUCACUUAUAGAUGGAUCCGCGCCGCAUUAGCUAGUUGGUAAGGUAAGGGCUUACCAAGGCGACGAUGCGUAGCCGACCUGAGAGGGGGUUGGCCACCACAGUAGCAGUGAGACGCGCCCGAGUCUUACGGGGGCAGCAGGAGGGGAGAAUACGGCACAGGGGGAAAGCGUAUGGUGCAACGGCGCCGUGGGGGAGAUGGUCCUCUGCGUGGUAAAACCCUGUUUUUGGGGAGAAACAAAGGUGCAUGAAUUGUGGGAGGGCUGACGGUAGCUAAAUAAGAAGCCCCGGCUAACUACGUG
rnacentral:rRNA from 1 species